CCUAGAGAAAUGCAUAGAGUCCUUGCUCCCCACUAUGAUGAAUUCAUUGAGGAAGUCAGAAUGUGAUGGGAGGAUUGCUGCACCAGGGUCAUUUUACAGAGUAUGAAAGAAGGCAAUAAAGCCACCAAUCAACAGGGAUAAAAUGGAAGCCAACUUUGCUCUGGUGAAGGCCCUUCCCAUUCUCUUUCCCCCAGUGGCACCUCCAUCAAAGAAACUGGGGUGUGCUAGUGAAGCUUUACUGCAUGUUCAGGAGUCAACAAAAGAUCCAAACGUCUUCAUCCAGAAGAGAGGCCUGUCAAGUCCAGUCUUGGUGUUCGAUGGCAGCAGAUGAAUCGUUGCUAUUGGUUUGAUGCCAGUGACGUUUGAAAAAGAAAAGCUUCACGAGGGUCUGAUUUUCUAAAUGGCAUAUUAUUACACACUACAUCUGACCUACACAAAUUGCGUGGCCACCCUUCUGUCAUUCAGACAGAGAUCCUUCAGGAUACAAUUCACAAGUGGGACAUCACCACCACAUGAAAGAGCAUUAAAGUAAAGAAUUUGUUGGAAGAUAAACUGCUUUUGCAGUUCAAUGUUUAUGUCUGUUCUUUAGAAUAGUAUUCUAAUUGUGUUGUUAAAGAAAUAGUUGUAUUCCUAGUGCCUUUGGGUAAAUUUGUAUCACAAAUCUCAGUUUGUAAGUUGAAUAAAAGAAUCGAAAAGUGAA